rnacentral:rRNA from 1 species
GACGAACGCUGGCGGCGUGCUUAACACAUGCAAGUCGAACGGAAAGGCCCUGCUUUUGUGGGGUGCUCGAGUGGCGAACGGGUGAGUAACACGUGAGUAACCUGCCUUUGACUCUGGGAUAACUUCAGGAAACUGGGGCUAAUACCGGAUAUGAGCUCCUGCUGCACGGUGGGGGUUGGAAAGUUUCGGCGGUUGGGGAUGGACUCGGGGCUUAUCAGAUUGUUGGUGGGGUAGUGGCUUACCAAGGCUUUGACGGAUAGCCGGCCUGAGAGGGUGACCGGCCACAUUGGGACGGAGAUACGGCCCAGACUCCUACGGGAGGAAGGAGUGGGGAAUGUAGCACAAUGGGCGGAAGGCUGAUGCAGCAACGCCGCGUGCGGGAUGACGGCCUUCGGGUUGUAAACCGCUUUCGACUGUGACGAAGCGUGGGUGACGGUAAUGGGUGAAGAAGCACCGGCUAACUACGUG